rnacentral:rRNA from 1 species
GACGAACGCUGGCGGCGUGCCUAAUACAUGCAAGUCGAGCGAAGUUUUUCUGGUGCUUGCACUAGAAAAACUUAGCGGCGAACGGGUGAGUAACACGUAAAGAACCUGCCUCAUAGACUGGGACAACUAUUGGAAACGAUAGCUAAUACCGGAUAACAGCAUUAACUGCAUGGUUGAUGUUUAAAAGUUGGUUUUGCUAACACUAUGAGAUGGCUUUGCGGUGCAUUAGCUAGUUGGUGGGGUAAAGGCCUACCAAGGCGACGAUGCAUAGCCGACCUGAGAGGGUGAUCGGCCACACUGGGACUGAGACACGGCCCAGACUCCUACGGGAGGCAGCAGUAGGGAAUCUUCCGCAAUGGGCGAAAGCCUGACGGAGCAACGCCGCGUGAGUGAAGAAGGAUUUCGGUUCGUAAAGCUCUGUUGUUAGGGAAGAAUGAUUGUGUAGUAACUAUACAUAGUAGAGACGGUACCUAACCAGAAAGCCACGGCUAACUACGUGCCAGCAGCCGNCGGUAUACGUAGGUGGCAAGCGUUGUCCCGGAUUAUUGGGCGUAAAGCGCGCGCAGGUGGUUUAAUAAGUCUGAUGUGAAAGCCCACGGCUCAACCGUGGAGGGUCAUUGGAAACUGUUAAACUUGAGUGCAGGAGAGAAAAGUGGAAUUCCUAGUGUAGCGGUGAAAUGCGUAGAGAUUAGGAGGAACACCAGUGGCGAAGGCGGCUUUUUGGCCUGUAACUGACACUGAGGCGCGAAAGCGUGGGGGGCAAACAGGAUUAGAUACCCUGGUAGUCCACGCCGUAAACGAUGAGUGCUAAGUGUUGGUCUCAUAAGAGAUCAGUGCUGCAGCUAACGCAUUAAGCACUCCGCCUGGGGAGUACGACCGCAAGGUUGAAACUCAAAGGAAUUGACGGGGACCCGCACAAGCGGUGGAGCAUGUGGUUUAAUUCGAAGCAACGCGAAGAACCUUACCAAGUCUUGACAUACUGUGAGGACACAAGAGAUUGUGUUGUUCUGACCUUUGGUUAGACACAGAUACAGGUGGUGCAUGGUUGUCGUCAGCUCGUGUCGUGAGAUGUUGGGUUAAGUCCCGCAACGAGCGCAACCCUUAUAUCUAGUUGCCAGCAGUAAGAUGGGGACUCUAGAUAGACUGCCAGUGAUAAACUGGAGGAAGGUGGGGAUGACGUCAAAUCAUCAUGCCCCUUAUGACUUGGGCUACACACGUGCUACAAUGGAUAGGAACAAAGAGAAGCGAGCUCGCGAGAGUAAGCAAACCUCACAAAACUAUUCUCAGUUCGGAUUGUAGUCUGCAACUCGACUACAUGAAGCUGGAAUCGCUAGUAAUCGCGAAUCAGAAUGUCGCGGUGAAUACGUUCCCGGGUCU